AAUGAAUGGUUGGUGGACCUUAGAUUGAUUUGGUCACAUAGAUACAAAAGUUUGGCAGAAAAAUUAGGUGUAUGAAUGCGGAGGUGAUUUAUUGAAAGACAUACACAUGUUUUACCUUGGAAAAUUAGCACUUGUUACUUUUGCCAAGAUUCUGUCCGCCACACUACUCUGGCCUCAAAGUGUCUUCAAGUCAUAAUUAUCGAAAAACCCUAUGUCAUCUUUAGAAAAAUUUCGAAUUCACUAAGCUUCAUUAUUUAAAUAUCUAUGCUUAAACGAGAAUAAGAGAAGGAUGGAAAAGGGCAAAAAA